rnacentral:lncRNA from 10 species
GUGAUGGUCAGGAGGUUGUUAACUGUCUCUCUAAAGUAAUAAUUAGUCACAGCUGGUACCAGGGAAAGGCCCGCCCCUAAUAGAUAGAAAACACCUGAAACAGGUGAUCAGCCGCUUCUGGAUAAGAUCUCAGGUGUUGGGAGAAGUGACGCAAGACCCUGGAAGAAGGCCAACGUAUAAAACCCCAAGUCAAAAGGUCAAGCUGUGCAUUUGUCUUUCAAGUUUUCUGCUUUGCUGUCUUCCAAGUGCACCUUCCUUUCAUUCCUGCUGUAAAACUUGCCUCAGUCUUUCCUGCCUGAUACCCCUCAAGCAAAUGCCUCCUUCUUCUGAGGAGGCAAGAAUUGAGGUUGCUGCAGACCUGAUAUGGAUUUUCCACCGCUAACAUAUUUUGGUGCUGUGUGACUCAGAUAAGGAAAUUGAGGCUCAGUGUUGGCAGGUAACAUGUUCAAGAUCUUGAAACUAGCAGGUGGCAGAGCUGGGGUUCAUCUGUCUCCAUGUGCUCAGAAUUCUGAGAGGAAUUGCUGAAAAGGAUGGGGACUCUGAGCU